GACGAACGCUGGCGGCGUGCCUAAUACAUGCAAGUAGAACGCAGUUGCGAACGGGUGAGUAACGCGUAGGUAACUGACUCAUUGCGGGGGAUUACCUUUGGAAACGAUAGCUAAUACCGCAAACUGUGAGAUGGACCUGCGUUGCAUUAGCUAGUUGGUGAGGUAAAGGCUCACCAAGGCGACGAUACAUAGCCGACCUGAGAGGGUGAUCAGCCACACUGGGACUGAGACACGGCCCAUACUCCUACGGGAGGCAGCAGUAGGGAAUCUUCGACAAUGGGCGGAAGUCUGACCCAGCAACGCCGCGUGAGUGAAGAAGGUUUUCGGAUCGUAAAGCACUGUGGGUAGAGAAGCGGUAUCUAACCAAAAAGCCACGGCUAACUACGUGCCAGCAGCCGCGGUAAUAC
rnacentral:rRNA from 1 species